AUCCAGCUGAUGAGUUCCGAAUAGGACGAAACGCGCAUCCUGGAU
rfam:Schistosoma haematobium scaffold1165_16, whole genome shotgun sequence.